GUGCGCGCUGACCAGGUUCCUUCUAACCUUGGCUCCCCAAAUCCUCCACACACACGGACACACCAGCUACGCAGCUAUGGCGACGGCUCGCGCCGUCUUCUCCCGGGGGCGCACCCUCUGGCGGCGGUGGCGCCUUCUCCCGGGGGCGCACCCUCUGGCGUCGGCGGCGCCUUCUCCCGGGGGCGCACCCUCUCGCGGCGGCGGCGCCUUCUCCCGGGGGCGCACCCUCUCGCGGCGGCGGCGCCUUCUCCCGGGGGCGCACCCUCUCGCGGCGAGGCCUCCUUCUCCCGGGGACUCGCCCUCUCGCGGCGACGCCUCCUUCUCCCGGGGACUCGCCCUCUCGCGGCGACUCCUCCUCUGGCGCCCUCAAAGGCUCCUGCUCUGAAUCCUGGGAUCUCCAAUCUUUAAUGUUUACUUGGACAACAUCGAGAGUUCCUUCAGGACAACAUUCAAUGGAGUCAGACAAUACUUCAAAUUGAUCCUCCAAAGAGACAAUGUGCAACUCCCAGAGGGAAAAUUGGUGACUCAUCCCAAGGGUUGGAUCAUUUUAAGGAUCAGCCCUUCGGCAUCCUCUCAUGUCUGCUCAGAGUCAGUAUAUGCACUGUACAGAACACAUGAUAUGUACUUGGAUAGCAUCGUGGCAAAACAAGUUUGCUACAGGUUCAAUGAUCACGAUCGUUCCAUAUCAUUACCGAAGGAGUUACAGAAAGAGGGUACACUCAUAAUGGCAAAGAUGUCAAAUUACUCUAAUUUGGGUUUUAAUCCCAAAGCACAUAACCAGAUAACCGUCGGAGAUGAUGUUAUUAGAAGACAUUACCAGGUGCUCUUAGGGAUUGCUAAUAUGGAUCUGUCUCAGGAAGGAAAUGUUGACAUCAGCUUGAAACAGACCCUUCUCUUCUUUGUUCUGCUAGCCGAAGCACUACGGUUUCCCGAGCUCGAAAAGUGGUUACUGAAUAUCUUGGCAAAGAAGUUGGAAAUGUCAGUCCCGGUUAGUAUAACCAAACUCUUCAACAGUUGGGGAACGCUCUCCAAGAUUCUUCAUAAAGGCAGAGAAAAUUUCAGCAUUGGCAAUAUUACUGUUGAGCUGCUGAAGAGUAACUGUAAAACAUAUGAUGAUGUAUGUUCCAUAUUGGGAAUAGCGAACAAAAUUAACUUGAGAAAAUUGGAGAAAAAGAAGAAGAAGAAGAACAGGCU